rnacentral:rRNA from 1 species
AAAUUGAAGAGUUUGAUCAUGGCUCAGAUUGAACGCUGGCGGCAGGCCUAACACAUGCAAGUCGAACGGUAACAGGAAGAAGCUUGCUUCUUUGCUGACGAGUGGCGGACGGGUGAGUAAUGUCUGGGAAACUGCCUGAUGGAGGGGGAUAACUACUGGAAACGGUAGCUAAUACCGCAUAACGUCGCAAGACCAAAGAGGGGGACCUUCGGGCCUCUUGCCAUCGGAUGUGCCCAGAUGGGAUUAGCUAGUAGGUGGGGUAACGGCUCACCUAGGCGACGAUCCCUAGCUGGUCUGAGAGGAUGACCAGCCACACUGGAACUGAGACACGGUCCAGACUCCUACGGGAGGCAGCAGUGGGGAAUAUUGCACAAUGGGCGCAAGCCUGAUGCAGCCAUGCCGCGUGUAUGAAGAAGGCCUUCGGGUUGUAAAGUACUUUCAGCGGGGAGGAAGGGAGUAAAGUUAAUACCUUUGCUCAUUGACGUUACCCGCAGAAGAAGCACCGGCUAACUCCGUGCCAGCAGCCGCGGUAAUACGGAGGGUGCAAGCGUUAAUCGGAAUUACUGGGCGUAAAGCGCACGCAGGCGGUUUGUUAAGUCAGAUGUGAAAUCCCCGGGCUCAAC